AUAUGUAUGAUGAAGAAAAUCGUUCGGAUUCCCAAUGAUUUUUCAUAAGAUGAUUCCUAACCAGCUACUUCUGACAUAU
rnacentral:snoRNA from 1 species